GAAUAUUGGACAAUGGGGGCAACCCUGAUCCAGCCAUGCCGCGUGUGUGAAGAAGGCCUUUUGGUUGUAAAGCACUUUAAGCAGUGAAGAAGACUCCAUGGUUAAUACCCAUGGACGCUGACAUUAGCUGCAGACACAGCACCGGCUAACUCUGUGCCCGCAGCCGCGGUAAUACAGAGGGUGCCAGCGUUAAGCGGGAUUACUGGGUGUAAAGCGAGCGUAGGUGGCUUGAUAAGUCAGAUGUGAAAUCCCCGGGCUUAACCUGGGAACUGCAUCUGAUACUGUUAGGCUAGAAUAGGUGAGAGGAAGGUAGAAUUCCAGGUGUAGCGGUGAAAUGCGUAGAGAUCUGGAGGAAUACCGAUGGCGAAGGCAGCCUUCUGGCAUCAUAUUGACACUGAGGUUCGAAAGCGUGGGUAGCAAAC
rnacentral:rRNA from 1 species